GGUGGUUUGUCGCGUUGUUCGUGAAAACCGGAGGCUCAACCCCUGGCGUGCGGGCGAUACGGGCAGACUUGAGUACUGCAGGGGAGACUGGAAUUCCUGGUGUAGCGGUGGAAUGCGCAGAUAUCAGGAGGAACACCGUGGCGAAGGCGGGUCUCUGGGCAGUAACUGACGCUGAGGAGCGAAAGCGUGGGGAGCGAACAGGAUUAGAUACCCUGGUAGUCCACGCCGUAAACGGUGGGUACUAGGUGUGGGUUUCCUUCCUUGGGAUCCGUGCCGUAGCUAACGCAUUAAGUACCCCGCCUGGGGAGUACGGCCGCAAGGCUAAAACUCAAAGAAAUUGACGGGGGCCCGCACAAGCGGCGGAGCAUGUGGAUUAAUUCGAUGCAACGCGAAGAACCUUACCUGGGUUUGACAUGCACAGGACGCCGGCAGAGAUGUCGGUUCCCUUGUGGCCUGUGUGCAGGUGGUG
rnacentral:rRNA from 1 species